AAAAUUCAACGGCCGCGGUACCCUAACCGUGCGAAGGUAGCAUAAUCACUUGUUCUUUAAAUGAGGACUAGUAUCAACGGCAUCACGAGGACUACACUGUCUCCUCUCUUCAAUCAGUGAAACUGAUCUCCCCGUGAAGAAGCGGGGAUUUAUUUAUAAGACGAGAAGACCCCAUGGAGCUUUAAACCCAAUGUAUAACCCAACACACAAAUCAAUAAAGCCCUGAGGAUCUAUACACUGGUUUUAGGUUGGGGAGACCACGGAGUAAAACUAAACCUCCACAACAAACUGGCUAAAGCCCUGAUCUAUGAACUACAACUCUAAGAGCCAACAAAUUGUUGCCAACGACCCAAUCACUUGAUUAAUGAACCAAGUUACCCUGGGGAUAACAGCGCAAUCUACUUCAAGAGCCCCUAUCGACAAGUAGGUUUACGACCUCGAUGUUGGAUCAGGGUAUCCAAGUGGCGCAGCCGCUACUAAUGGUUCGUUUGUUCAACGACUAAAACCCUACGUGAUCUGAGUUCAAAACCGG
rnacentral:rRNA from 1 species